UACGUAGGUGGCAAGCGUUGUCCGGAUUUAUUGGGUUUAAAGGGUGCGUAGGCGGCCCUGUAAGUCAGUGCUGAAAUAUCCCAGCUUAACUGGGAGGGUGGCAUUGAUACUGCGGGGCUAGAGUACAGAUGAGGUAGGCGGAAUUGACGGUGUAGCGGUGAAAUGCUUAGAUAUCGUCAAGAACACCGAUAGUGAAGACAGCUAACUAAGCUUUAACUGACGCUGAGGCACGAAAGUGUGGGGAUCAAACAGG
rnacentral:rRNA from 1 species